rnacentral:rRNA from 1 species
GACGAACGCUGGCGGCGUGCUUAACACAUGCAAGUCGAACGGUGAAGCGCCUUCCUUUUUGGUGGGUGUGGAUGAGUGGCGAACGGGUGAGUAACACGUGAGUAACCUGCCCCCUUCUUCUGGAUAACCGCAUGAAAGUGUGGCUAAUACGGGAUAUUCUGGGUCUGUCGCAUGAUGGGUCUGGGAAAGAUAUUGUUUCGGUGGGGGAUGGGCUCGCGGCCUAUCAGCUUGUUGGUGGGGUGAUGGCCUACCAAGGCGGUGACGGGUAGCCGGCCUGGGAGGGUGGACGUUAACGUGGGGACAGAGAAGAGGCGCGUACCCCUACGGGGGGGAGCGGUGGGGAAAAUGGCACAAGGGGGGAAAGCCUGAGGCAGCGCCGCCGCGUGGGGGAGUGAGGCCUUGGGGUUGGGAACCUCUUUCGCGAGGGAAGGAGGCCGGCCUCGUUUGGGGGGGGGUUGACGGUGGGUGAAAAAGAAGGCCCGGCGAACUACGG